GGAAAGCCCCGAUCUCACGCCCCCGCUCGCAAUCAUCUCCUCUAAUCCCUCGAUAGCAUUAAACGCGGGCCCUGCCCGAGCUCUGCUUCCCACCCGAGUCGCCUCGCCGCCAGCUCGCUCACCAGAUCCCCUGCUCCUCCGCCGUAUCACCGCGACUCCUCCAGCCAACGACGCCUCUCCGCUCCGCGACCACCCCGGCCACCGACGCCUCUCCGCUCCGCCUCAUCAGCCCGCUCCAUCCGCCUCGCGCACCUCCAGCUUCGCCUCACAUCGGUGGACCGCAGCACCGAGCCUCCUGCCCCAUUGUUCCUCACUCGAGCCUCCCCGCCGAGCAGCAUGGCUACCACCUAGUCCACUCCACCGACGCUUUCUCGUUCGAUUCCGCGGAGUUUUUUCAGUCGUUGGGCUAUCCCAUCUACUGAUUCGGCUGCAUCCCCAUCGAUUUGGAUCGACCGGCCUGAGUAUUGGCCAUUGGAUUUCUAAAUUGCGGCUGUAUUUUUGAAGCUCCCCAACCUGAAUCAAAGGUGACACUCAACAAUGACUAAAAAGGAGUUGAUCAUGCUGCAGAGUCGACAUUCAGCUGGUAGGUUACAUGAUAUUGUCAAGGGUCUCCCACAGAGAAGGAAAGACCUCAUUUGCACAAACAAAAUGGGGUAAUCUACUUAAUAUUAGCAAAUUCUCAGCUCCAGAGGGUCUCCUAGAAUGGAUCGUUGACCGGAUUGACCCGAAGCUAGGUGAAUUUCGGAAUCCACGAAACAAUAACAGCAUUCUAUUCACUCGACAAAUGGUUGAAAAGGCUCUCGGGCUUCCGUCUGGUACUAGGCCGGUGGUUAUCAUAAGCAAGCAUGAAGAAUCACCUCACCGAGAAUUCUACAAAACGGACUAUGAGCAUGGGAGACGGGCGCCCAUUCACCAUGCUGCAACCAUGCUAGAAAACGGCAAUGAUCUAGAUGAUGAGACCUUCUUCAGGACAUUCUUUCUAGUAGCAUUGGCUACUCAUUUUACACCCGGAACUGGAAAUAUGAUUCCUUUGGAAUAUUUAGGCAGCCUUGAAGUUGCUUCCGAGGUUUGCGAGUAUGCAUGGGGAGAGCAAAUUCUCAAAGAUGUCAUGACUGAGGUCGAUACAUUCCAAAAGAAGAAGAAGAAAGCACUACUAGAUGGUGUCUUCAAAAAAAUCUGGGUCGGCAGCUGCCUAUCCGUGCUCGCGAUUAUAUACAUGGACCAUCUUGACUUUCCUGAAUCAUCUUUGUCGACGCAUCGCAUAAAUUACUCACUUCCCAGAUCAUCCCAUGUAACCGAUGCCGACUUCGAAUUUGUCAUGCUCGCUGAUAAAAGUAGACUGAGCCUCAACCCAUAUAUUUAUGGCGCACGACCGUUUCGUGCACCCGAGGCAACCCCAUAUGCCGUUGUAGCGCCAAUCUACCAACAGCAAUCUACUCAACAGCCAAAUGUUCAACAAACAGAUAAUGAUUCUACCAACCAUCCAGCAGAGGACAUGCAUCACCAGGUCCCUACAUUACCUACCAAUCAAUCUGAGGAACUACCAGCGUUCAUACUUCCAAUUUUGCGAACGCAUAAUGCAAAAUGGGCACUUGAUAUUUCAAAAGCCACAUCACGACUCAACAAACUGCACGCAAAGCGCAUGAACGAGUUUGCACAAGAUGUCAUUGCUGCCUCAAGAAUUCAUACUCCAACAACACCUACUUAUUCCUCGCCUGAUAGGGUAGGCCAAGACUCAUAUACUGAAAAUGCUCAAGAACAUGGGACCAAAGCUACACCCAACACCAAGUUUUGGCAGGAAGCAGCUGCAUAUGCCGAAGAGGUUGAGAAAAGUGUUUGAAAAACACCUCGUAAUAACCAGGAUGUUGCUUCUACAUCAGCUCCUGCGACGAACCAAUCCACCGGAGAGGAAGAUACAAGGCGGAGGAUUCUUGAUACGUACGAAGAUGCAAGUUUCAGCUUUCUACCUCCAGGUCAAACUUGGACCCAAGUAUGGUCCGAACCUGCUUCGUCGCCACAUCAUCCACAUACUGCCGAUGCCGCUACUGCAGUUGGACAAUCCUCAGCUCCAGAAAAUGCAGGACCAACAACCAUGUCAACAGUGGACGCAAACUUGGUGCACAUCAGUCACGGGACAUCCCCUGUACAAUCGCCACCACCAAAAUCACCAACCCAUCUCAACCAGGAAAAUGGAACCAAAGCACCUAGCAUCAUCCAUAUCGUGACCGAGGUACAACAACCCACCGUGAGGGAUAUCCCUGAAACUAUUGGCACCCAAACUCAGGAAAAGAAAAAUAGGAAGAAGCGAGCUUGUCUUCGAAAAACCGAGGACACAAGGUUGAAGAAGCUCAAGGUUAACAUUUCCUCAAUUCAAAUAUACACUAAGUACAUUACCACCAGAUGUGUGAGACCUCCGACAAAAAAGGAAAACAGGGCUCCUUUUGUUGAUUACCAGGGGUAUCACAUAUCAUAUGAAGAUUUCCGCGAGGCAAUGAAACCACGCGGGUUCGUUGACACCGAUACAAUGGAGCUCUACAUUCGACAAUUCAACCUUGAACAAUCAAUUUAGACUUGUGGCUCCGCUCUUCCAACCAAAUAUGCAUUCUCACAAUCUUUGACCGCUAAACUACUGGUUCCCGAGGACAAAUUCAUUGCAUCCAAGUGCCUUCGUGAAUUCAACACUGCAUACCAAGAUGGCUCCCUCAAGUCAAAGGAUCUCAUAUGCCUCCUUACAUUUUUAUUGAAUGUUGUCGAUUAACAAUAAAUGUUCAAAUCUGACCACUCACAUGGCUCUGACCAUGAUAAUUUGCAGCUAUACUUCGCCAUCCCCCAAAAAGAACAUUGGAUCGUGUGCUGCAUCAACCUUCUGUACAAACAGAUCAACAUAUUUGACUCAGGCAGAAAGCUCAAGAAUGACGAGGCAUACGAGAUAUCCAACAAUCUGGUUAGCAAUUUUGUGACACUUGCGGCACAUGCUAAAGCUUUCACAAAGUUGGAUUUCAUGAAGUUCACGUGUUUCAACCCUCCGGAAUGCCCCCAACAGAAAACACACUAUGAUUGUGGAAUAUUCGCAAUGCUCUUCAUGAAGCAAUGGGAUGGGAAGAAAAUGGCAGAAUUUAGCAAGGACACUUAUGACCAUCGCGCGCUUAUCACAGAAGAAAUCCUCACUUCACAACUCAACACUCAAGAUCCAAGCUGGGUACUGAAGAAGAAAUGAGAAGCCUGCAUAGUCGUGUUCAAGAAAAUAAAAAUCCGUGCUUGAGAAGCCAUCCUAGAAGCGUACAAGAGAAUAAAAGACGGCGCUUCUAUCAACUAUGUGCUUCGAUUUUUUCUGUGUAAUUUUUAGCUUGUUUUUUCUAAGACACUACUUUUCAGUAACCAUCAGACCAGUGUCAUGUUUGUGUUCUUAACUGAUUGGGUUUCCGAUCAUCGGUUACCCUACCACAUUUUACCUGUUUUGUGGAUCAAUCUCUUAUUCAGAAUUACUUACAAAGAAAUUUACCCAAGUUGUACAUUUUUUUUGUUCAAUGCCA
rnacentral:rRNA from 1 species